UGCCACUGGAAACAGCAGGAAGGAGACUUGAAGCAAAGCCAUCAAUUUCCACAGAAAGGGGAAACCCACACCCAAAUGGUAGGGAGGGCCCAGGAGCCAGAAUUCAAGUGAAUAGUUUCCUGAGUGGUCAGCAGCGUCAGGAACAGUGGAUAAUACCAUAUUCAGCCCCCCUGACAACCCCAUGAAACAGAGUGGGAAGACAAUCUCUGCAUGUGUUAAGUUCUAGAUGAGCAAGGACCUUACCUGUAUCAUUGGCAUUGUAUCUCCAGUGGCUAGCAUAGCACCUGGCAUAUAGUAUCUGCUCAGAAAAGCGGUGUCUGAUUUGGCAAGAAUACAUUUCUGCAUUCAAAGUUGAAAUGUGAAGAUAAACCUCACCCACUUGGAAUAGGAUAAAAGAAAAUCCCCUGGAUAGAGGGAAAUAUGCAAACAGUUCUAUUACCAUGUGUAUCUUUUCCUGAGCUGGGUCUUUAUGCAACAAAGGAACUGGAGGUAAUCCAUGCCUCACUGUGGAGUGUUCCUGACUCAGCAACCAGAUCCCAUCAUCACUGUAAUACCAGAAGAAUGGAAAAAGGUGCAAAGACUAGACUUUCAGAGGAAUCUGGGUUUUUUUGUUUUUUUAUUUUAUUUUAAAGCUUAGGUCUGAAAUGGGUGCAUUUAAAAUAUUUCAGCACACUGACUAAGAGGAUAGGCUGCAAAGUCAGCUAGGCCCGAGUUGAGAAAUGGCAUUUCUACUUACAGCUGGCUAUUUUUGAACAAGUAAUCACUGAUCUCAGUAUAUAUGCUAGUAAGUGAAAAAACAUGAUACUGUCAGUUGAGGAUUCAUUUGCAAAUUAAAUGGGACAUUGCAUA